AGAGCGAAAUCGAACUAGCGAAUCGUAGCGUUGUGCAUCUCCCUUUUCAUCUCUGUCGCAAGUAUUGUAUAUAACAUUGUGUACGAGCUAGGGAGUCGUUUUUCUAGGCGUCAAUCUUGACGUUAGAGUAUCUGGAUUAUAGGGACCUGUCUUAUCGGAUUGUUGAAAUUGUAAAUUCUAUUCAUCGUCUAUGCACAUUUUUAUCACUCUGUAACUUGCCAUUGAUUGUCUCUGUAAUACGGACAGUGAUAAUGGAAGGAUUAACCAGGAGGUACAGAAACUGUACGUUAUCGAUGGAAGAUUGCCAAGAAGUAAUCGACCGAUUUCAUUCGUUGCCACCAUGAGGAAAAGGGAAGACCGCAGGUCGGGCAUAGUCAGAUCGUUUUAAAGGUUAAAACGUCAUAACUCACGUAGAAAAAUGCGGAGCUUUCAUACAGACUCCGUUCUGUGAGAGGCAUUAAAUUUGUCCAAGGAAUGCUUUGUUACUCUUAUUAAAAAAAACUGUAUGAAACAACUCCGAGAAUGCUGCGUGGAAUAUAAAAAAAGAGGUAUCGAAUACUUGAGUGAUAUGCAACGUCAAAGAUCCCAAGAAUCUAUUGGUAAGUUUCAC